ACCGCAGACCGCUCUGCCGCCUUUCGGGGAGGAAAGUCCGGACAACACAGAGCACCGCACCGCCUAACCGGCGGAGUCGCGCCGAGAAGUCGGCGGGGCAUAGAAAGUGUCGCAGAAAAUAACUUCCCGUUAUAGAUAAGGCGUUGGUGGGGUAAACCCGCCUUCGCCGAGGCUACGGCGGGUAAAGGUGAAAACGUGCGGUAAGAGCGCACGGUUCCGGCUGGCAACAGUCGGGAGGGAUAAACCUUGCGGGUUGAAAUGCCAUGUACACCUUGUUUGCGCGCCGGAGUUUUGCUUCGGCUGCAGAUACGCGGCUCGCGUAGUUUCGUGCAAACGGAAGCAAGGGGGGUAGGCAGCGCAGAUCCCGAUGUAUAAAUCGUCGGGACCAGAUAAAUGACAGAGAUUU
rnacentral:RNase_P_RNA from 1 species